GCCAGCCCCCUCCCGAGCGUGUCCUCAGCGCUGUGAACAAUGGAACCAUCAAAAAGGCCUUCUCCCAGCCGCCUCACCAACCACGGACAUUCCUGGCCCAACAAGCCCUCCUGGCCUGGUUUUGAGCCCUGCUUCCCAGAUCUGGGGACCCUUCACCUGCCUCUACUACUGCAAAUGAUUGGAUAUUCGUCUGCCUUGGCUCUUCCCUAAUGUGUGGAACUAAUUUUGUUCACUCUGUUUCAUGCUGGACCUGGCCUGAAAAUGGGCCCUUACAUUGUCUUUGCACUUUCCAACUUGCCAAGUUUCUGAAAGAAGGACCAAAGUAAUGCCAAGAACUCCCAGAUGAAGAGGACCUUCCUUAGACCUAUAACAGAUUCACUACUUGACUUCAGAGGGACGUUUCAGCUAAUUCUCAGGAAAAGGUCAAAACAGGCCUGUGACUGUCCCUCGAAUACUGAAGGUAUAAACAAGCUUCUGGCUCCUCCAGGUCAAGCAGAGGAACACUUUUAUUAGAAUGAAGGGUUACUUCUUUGUUAUUCAGACACACACCCACACACAUCCUCUGUAGUCUCCCUAAUGAAAAACCUCAACAGAUGGAGAGCCUGAGCU
rnacentral:antisense_RNA from 1 species